GGGAUGAAUUUAACAUCUCCAAUUUUUGGCGCUCAUCAACACGCACUAGUUACCAGUCACCAGUAUACCACGUAUUCUCUUCUAUAUCCCGCCCCUCCUCCUCAAUUGCUCCCUCAACCCCACGUCUUUCUCUCAACUGCUCCCCACACCGAAGUUCAAAGAUGUUGCGAUUAUAGUUCCGAACUCAAUCCGGUUUGAACCUGCUACAACUAUAGUUCCAAACUCAAUCUGGUUUGGUGGGAUUAGAUCAUUGAGGAUUGCCGGUGGAAGACACAUUAUUUGACAAGGUCCAACUUCUUUGAGAAAGAAAUGUUAGUGUUGUUAUCCACGACAAACGAGAACUCAAUACCGUGCGUGUUCACGAGGAAAAUUGAAGCAAGCAGAAAUGGCUCAACAAAGACAGAAAGCAACCACAAAAGGCAAGGGAAAAGAUAAGGCAACUGGUUCCAACGGAAAAGAGAAAAACUAGGCAGCUUUGUGAUUUUUAUGGGAGUUAGCUUGAUCUUUUAAUUUGGUUCAUUUGGAAGAAGUCGGUUUUAUCAAAGGGGUGGUCAAUGGUAGGACUGAGUAAUUUAUUAGAGUGCGCUGAGAAUAUAUGCAUUGUGCCUCGAGUGCAAUUGUGUUUUUUUGUAUAGUUGAAAUCGUUGGAUAAGGGUUGAGAUAUUACACGUGAGCCCAACAUUGGUUUGAGAGCUAAUUGUUCAAGCCGUGGCUUCAGGCACAGGCAUGUGUUGUAAGUGAACGUGUUGCGGAUAUCAAGACGCGUACUCAAGCUAUGAAAUGCCUUACUAUUUUUUCGAAGAUGUAGGCCCAAGAUUUGUUUUUGAAAGAGUAAGUCUGGAUGCACCUUUUCUACUUUGUGUUUAGGCUGGAAGUAAUGAUCUGCAUGGAAGAGAUGCUUAGAUAGAAUUUCCUGCCGAGAAUUAUUUCCAAUUCUAUUGACUUGACUUAUUUCCUUUCUCAUUUUCUUUGUUUUAGCUUUACAAAAUCAUGAAGGAGCAUAAGAAUCCCAUGGUGCUUAGCGAGGGUAUUCUAUGGAUGGUUUCUGCAGUUGACGACUUUGGUGUAUCACAACUGAAACUAAAGGUGCCUCUAGUGUUGCAAUUGGCUAAUUUCAAAUGAUGAAAGCUGAAGGAUUACCUCCAUUUU